UACGUAGGGUGCGAGCGUUGUCCGGAAUUAUUGGGCGUAAAGAGCUCGUAGGCGGUCUGUCGCGUCGAUCGUGAAAACUUGGGGCUUAACCCUGAGCUUGCGGUCGAUACGGGCAUGACUGGAGUUCGGCAGGGGAGACUGGAAUUCCUGGUGUAGCGGUGAAAUGCGCAGAUAUCAGGAGGAACACCGGUGGCGAAAGCGACUCUCUGGACGGUAACUGACGCUGAGGCACGAAAGCGUGGGGAGCAAACAGG
rnacentral:rRNA from 1 species